UACGUAGGGGGCAAGCGUUGUCCGGAUUUAUUGGGCGUAAAGAGCGUGUAGGCGGCCAAGCAGGUCAGCUGUGAAAACUCGAGGCUCAACCUCGAGACGUCGGUUGAAACCGCUUGGCUAGAGUCCGGAAGAGGAGAGUGGAAUUCCCGGUCGUAGCGGUGAAAUGCGCAGAGUAUCAGGAGGAACACCCGUGGCGAAGGCGGGUCUCGUGGG
rnacentral:rRNA from 1 species